GGCUUCAUAGUCUAGUGGUACAAUUCCUGUUUUAGGCAUAAUUUGUCUGAAUUACAGGAGGUCCUGCGUUCAAUCCGCGGUGGAGCCC